GGUGCUAAACAUGAGCACUGUUUCUCUCAGAACAGGAGUUGGCUGUAGCGCUGGAGCCCAAGGAGUCUCCCUGCCGCUGUGGGGGAGCUUUUCCUGGCUUGGGCUAUUACUUUCGUUUAUAAACUUAUCAGUGUCUUGGCGACUUUGUAGAGGUACCCAAGCCUCUUUUCUUCAUUCCACAAAAUGAGUUUCCCUAAUUCUGGGGAGGAGAGUGAUGUUAAUUGUCCUCGUCGGUCGCUGGAGCCGGGGGCGCGGGUCUUGCUCCUGAACCGGGGGGGCCCCUCCGCCCGCGGUGGGGCUGCGCCGAGCAGGGGGGGAUGCUCUGAGCCCCGUGUUGGUGCUGGGUCGUCCCGCCUGGCUGUUCGUGCUUGUCCCCCUUGGAAGCAGGGGCAGGCAGAUCGCGGUCUGAAGCGAUCCGCGAGCUGGGCUGAUCACUUUGCAUACCUCUUCCCUUCGGAAAGUUGAAGGGAGAGCGGCAGCGUGUUUUGCCCUGGGUACUGAUUUACAUUAACAACUUGUUGACCUUGUCUGUUGCUGCAAAUAGGGUAUUUUUUUGCGGUUUUUUUCCAUGUGUUUGCGCCCAUACUUUUGAAUAGAGGUACGACACAGGACUAUAUGAAGUUGGCAGACACAUACUGAAAAAACCCUGUGAUUCGUGAUUAUUUUCUUGGAAGCGAGACAGUGUGUGGAGUGCUUGCUUGUCUGUUUGCUUUUUAUCGAUGGACUGUUUGUUUAUGGGUUGUACUUUAGCUCCUAAUGUUACAGGUUUGGAUUAUGUCUUUGCUUUUUUUGGGGAAACUAUUUUUAUUUUGUAAAGAAGAGUAGUUGCAAAUGUAAGAAAAAUCACAUUGUAGCAGCCCUGGGGGUAUUAUAUAACAUGGCUGAUCUGUUCUGGUUGCUGUGAUAAGAACUGAGAUACACAUGCUGUAAAUAUAAGAUACAGGCUUGAGAUGCAAGUGAGAUCUAGCUGAAUAUCAAGUGUUUUGCAGACUAACAGAAACUCUAAUGAUUUGUUUUCUUAGGGUUUUUACUUGCUUAUUAAGACAACUUCUAGAGUAUUGACCUGGAAUAAUUUACUUCAGUUACGUGGGUGAUUUUCUUCGAUUGUUUUCCUUCAGAUUUAGUAAUCUUUGUUCACAAUUUAAAAAGUUUCAUAGUUUAAACAGCAUCUAGAAAACUAGCAGGCACUUUGCGAGUAGUGAGCUGGGGGAGGAAUUAAUACUUAGAACAUGAAGCUGAAUCGUGGUGUACUAAACUAAAUUUUUGUGUUAACAACACUGCACAGGAAAUGAACUUUACGGCCCUGUUCACACGCGAUAGACGUGCUCACGGCAUGUGUAACACAGCAACCACACUAAGGAAGCUUAAGUUGUCAUCAGAGUCCUGACAGUUGUUUUGCUAGAUGAAUUUUUAAUAGUGAGGAUAGUUGCAUGUUACAAUACCUAAAUCAAAAAUAGUCUUUUAAAAUUUUUGUCCGGUGAAUUUUGUUUUCCGUGUGAUUGUUUAAGGGGAAAAAUCCCUCCAAACCUGUUUCCAGAAGCAUGUGUGGGAAGCAGUCUUAAUUUUGUUAAAUUUUGUUGUUCACCUUCAAGAACUUUGGACAAAUUCUUGUUACUAGGUUUGGAUAAUUCAGCCUGACACUACAGGUUGCUAUUGGUUCGUGUGCAUGCUGUCAUCGCAUUGACAGUCACUCAGAUUUUUAUCACUCAGUCACACUUUCUUCCCCUGUCAUCACUCUUCAGCACAGUUCUGUGAAAGAUGGGUUUUGAGAAAUGAAAAUGGAGUUCUGUUUGUGAUCAGUUGAAUACAAAAUCUGUUGGACACAGCACAUUACAUUAUUUUCAUGUGCAAAAUCCUGUAAUAGUCUUUAGAGCUGUCAGGCAGCGCACGGUAUUUCAUUCUCUGCUUUUAUCAUUAGUGUGUGUAGUACGAUCAGAUUUGCAGUUCUUAGAGUGCUAGAUAACUGUGCUGCCUCAGAGAUUGUGCCGGAGUGAGGGAUCACUGGAGAGCAGCUCUCACAGCGCAGUGAAGUUGUUUGGAAAGAAAGAAGGUGUGAGACAACUGAAAACAACGUGCAGGAGCCUGAAAUUCCUGAAGGCAAAAGGAGCAUUGGGCAGGACGUUGUGCUGUUCUGUAAUUAAAAGGAUUUUUGAUUUGAGGAAGAACUGUAAGAGUUAGGAUGCUACUAAGAACCAUUGCUGUUUCUCAGAGUGUGUAGCACAACCUUUAUGGCCCCAGGGAUUCCUUCACACAAACACAAAAUGCUACAAACCUGGUGUGCUUUGGGUGCUGGUGGUGUCUCCCAGAAUUUGUGUGAAUCACCAGUAACCUGCCUGAAUGACAUUUUCACUUUGUUUCAGGGCGCUGUAAAUUGUUGUAUGCUCUCAGAUUAAAGCCAAUGCUGUGUUAGAGCUAAGAACAAAACUUGGCCUGUGUGUAAAUUUCAUGUUUUCACUUUGGCUGGCAUUAGCAUUAAGUUUAUUAAAACACGUAUAAUACAUAAUGCAAUAAUAUUUAUUGAAUCAUUUUGCUAGCUAUAGUGCACAUUUUUCAAGUCAGAAAAUGUAAUAAAAACAAAAAAAAGCCCCAUGUUGAUUGUAAAAUGGCAUUGUAUCUAUUGCUAAUUGGCCCCUGACUUACUCUGGAUUUGUGUUCAUGUCUUAUCUUUUUCCUGGUCAAAUAGCAGAGGAUCAUUUUCUGGAUGUGUGGUGUGAGCAUACCAUGUUUUGUGAUUUGCAUCAAUUUAUGAGCUGUAGCUAAAAAGUUACCUGUUCUUUCCUAGUAUGGGAAACCCUAAAUUAAUCCACCCAAAUUUUCAGAAUAAUCCUGAAAGUGUGUGUGUGCAGAGGUAAAUGCCGUAAUACCUAUUUCUGUUGUGUGUGAAUAUGCUGACAGUCCGUGAGGAAUGGAAGACCUGGUUUAGGUCAUGGCACCUGUAUCUCCCUCCUUAAUUGGUAUUUUCAUAUGUGGUUUUUAUUUGAAAAUUAUGAGCAUCUCAGAAUAAGUGCCACAUUUAAACAGUGAACCAGCCACGAAAGCUCUUCCCUUAAUUUUCAGUGUAUUGACUCCACAGAUUAAACCAUUUAUUAGUGAAAGAUAAGCAGUACUUGGAUGCCGGGACUGGGGUUUGAUUAUCCAGUGCUAUAUAAAGAAUAUCAAAUUACACUUACCCAGCACUGUUGCAAGGAAGAGUUGCCCUGAUUUUUUGUAUUAACUCUAAAAAUCUCAAGAAAGUGGACUCAAAAUUGUGUCAGUCUGUCUUUUUCAUAUAUAUUAGUUAUGAUUUUCAGAUAUCUUUGUAAUUGAACUUGUGGUAAAGGUACUUGGAUUUGUAGAAACCUGCUUAAACACCUUUAGAAUAAUAGCUGUUAAAUCUAUAACAUAAGUGGAGUAAAUGCUGAAAGCCUUAAGGACUUCACGGGCAUUUAUUUAAAAUUGGCUUGGAUAUUCAUAAUCAUAUGCUAUCCCAACAUCCUGUGUGUGUGUGGCUCUUCUCCAGUGCAUUAAUAUACACUGUAGCACCUUGAUUUUGCUCUGUCAUUCUUUUACGUAUGUAAGAUUUCCUUCCUCUUUCCUUGUGUAACUCUCCCUGUCGGGUACAUUUAAUAGAGAAAUAUGUGCAUUUGGGUGCAAGGGGAUCAGGGAGUAAAUCCAAACUUCCUUUGUUUUAAAUUAAAAUUACUCCUAAGACAGAAGGACCAAAUGUGAAAUAGUCUUUCUUUUUAUCACCUGAUGUGGGCCGCCAGAUUAAAUCCUCGCCCCUAUUGCCAGUUAAUUUUCUGCAUUCAAACCCUGAAAUUGCCUGUGAAUUUUGCAGUCACUGCAAACCAGUGUUGCAUAAUUCUGCAUAGGCUGUAUGCUAUAUGGCACCUGCAGUGCUGAAGUGGAUCUCAUUUCAGCAGUUAACAGCACGUUAUUUAGUCCAUUAAGCUGUCUGUUCUUUUCCUCCCUGUCUGGUAAUUCCUUUCCCUUGGAACACACGAGCACUCCCUCCCUUUGAUACUCCCACACUUUCUGUCCAUGCUUCCACUGAGGCCGUCCACCCUUGCUUGAAUCCUCCCUGUUCCCACUGAAACUGUCCUCAAUCAUUUCCCCGACAAACCUCCCAUCACCAUUUCCCUCCCACUUCCACGGACUGACGUCAGCUCUCCUGUGCAGAGAUCCUUGCUUCCACCAAGAGGAUCCUUCCCACGCUGAUACAUGAACUUUUCUCAGUCUUCAGGGCUCCAGACUUUCAGACUGAUACUUUUUAUGCUGUUGUUGUAAGGCAUGAACACUUUCUCCAGGGAGUCUAAUUUUUAAAUUGUACAGAAUGAAGUAGUGUAGUAAUAUGUGAACUGGGCUCAUAUUUAAGCCUAAUUUUUAUCUAUUUAAAUUUCCUGUUGUUUGUUAUGUAAAUUGGAAAAAACCCAAACUGUAAAUCACUCACAGUGUAUAGAUGGCUACACUACUAAGCAUAAGCUACACUUUCAAUUUUUAAAGCAUUAUUAUUGGUAUCUCUUCUUGUCAUGCAAACCAGCUCAUGCAAAAUGUGUCACUGCAUCUGAGGGCAAUUCCUUGUAUGACUGAGAUGAGCAAGGUUAGACGCUGAAUUUUUGGACUAUUUACUGUUGUUACAAACUUCACUGAAUCUCUUUUCAGCUGAAAAUUCUUCUGCCCUUUCCAUUGUUCUUCACUGUUGCUGUCUGAGCUUGCUUUGUGUCUCUUUCUUGGCCAUUUUAUGUAGUUUAGUACUAAGCUUUUCCUUUUCUGCCACCUGAAUCUGUCGAUAGAGGAAGUAUUAAAACCAAGCCUUCAUUUCUGCAGUUCUAGAUGUUUUUCUUACUGUGUUGUACCUUUUGUAUUCCUAAUUAUAUGGCUCAGAUUGAAGUGUAAGUACAUGCAUAGUGAGAAAUUUUCUAGUUAUAAUCCAGGCAGAAUAACGGGAGGUGAUGUACUAAUGAGUUUCCACCAUUCCCAAUAUUACAUGUGGUGUGAAAUGCCAAUGAAAGUUACCAGCUUUGCCUUGCUGUUUAAGGUGCCAGCAAUUCAGAUUUUACAUCCAAAAUGCUAAGUUUAUAUAUAAGUUAAAGAUAUGGAAUGGUUACACCCGCUUGCAAAUACUUCUCACUCAAUCAACUGUUGAUUAGAGGAUGCUUACAAUCUGUGACAAUGAAGAAGGUCUUACUAAGAAAGUUGUUCAUGGUUCAUUUGAAACUAAGAAAAAAUACUGUUUGGAAACUGUUUUGCUUUCCAUUUUGCAUGCUUUAAUAUUUGUUCCUCAUGUUCAAGUAAAUGUCCAUGUCAAGAAAGGGAGAGGUAUUUGAAUGAGAAUUAUUUUUAACAUCCAUUGAAAUUGUUAUAUCCAGCAGUCGCCACUACCAACAGUGAUAAAUUGCUGUUUUGUUUUAGUUAUGAUAUGAACGUUUGUUCACCUCUCUUGGCUGUCACAUUGAGAAAGGACUCCAGAAUUGGGUUGCUUAAGCAGUAGUAACCAUACACUGAAAAUAUUCCACUUUUUGAGCAGUUGGCAUGUCAACUGACUUUCAAAUGACUUCUCAAAGAAGAAACAAGUGUUUCGAGAUAUGGACAGCUAAAGCUUCUAUUGGCUCUCAGCAAAAAGUGAAAGAAACUUAAAGCAAAUAUGAUAAUGAGCAGACUGGCCUUAAGGUGAAAUAAUUUCAGUGCAAGAUUUACGUAAGUUAUCAUUUUACUAGGGGGCCACAGAAGCACCUGCACAUGUAGGAGAACAUUUAGCAUUGUGUUCUGUUUUGGUGGUGGGUAUGGAUGUAAUAUGCCCACACCGUAAACUGCCUUACCAGCCAUGGAUGGAAUUAAAACAUUGUUAGCAAUGUUUCCAAGGUUGCACACAGAGUGUGAUUUUAUGUCCCAAGCUCAGUUUUCCAUGUGAAUUCCAGUGUUUUUAUAUAUCAGAUCCAUUCAUCCAGUAGAGGUUCAGUUGGAAAUUGCUUAAUACUGUGACAUUCUACACAUUGCUAUCCAUUCAUUGGGUAAAUAAUUAGGUAUCAUCAUUUAGCUAUGAUUUAAAUUGGCACAGGAUGACAAGAUACAAAUGGAAUAGCUUUAAUGUGCAUGACAUACUAAAUAGUUUUAUUGCCUAGAGUCAGAUUUUUAAGGUUUCAAAGGCAUGAAGGAGUGAUGUUAAAGUCUUCUGCUUUGCAAAAAGAUUCCAGCAUUCAGCCCCUUUGAGGUUCUUUCUUGACACCCUUUCUAGGGCCAAAAUGUAAUAAAUGAUGUUGUUGCACACGCUGUGAAAUUAAGUUGCAGAGUCUCUAAUUUGUGCAGUCUUCCAGACCCUUCUCUUUUGCUAUGGGUUGUACUGUUGGCCUCAAAUCAAACUCCCAGGCCCUUUUCUUCUCUUUCUUGUAAAAUCUGUAACUCUGUCACUCUACAUAAAGUAAAAGGCUUAGCAUUCUGCAAGCCAGCUCCCACAUGUAUGACUUUGUUCCAGGAGAAAGGAAGAGAGCUAGAACCUGCUUUUUGACAUGGAAAUGUGUUGUCAUAAACUAGGUUAUAUCUGUUUUGAAAGUGUUAGACAAGGUAAUUUGAGAUGGGUUUUGAUAGUGUUUUAAAUGUUCAAAGGUAGUCUGCAGAUACAUGUAGAAGUGUUAAAUGUCCUUGCAUAGCAGAAGAACUUGGAAUGAAAAAGGAAUAUUCAAGAUUUAAAAGCAGUUUUGGGAAUAAAAUGUUGCUCAUGAAAAAGACUGAUUCCAGCAUGAGGGACUCAAAUUGGUAUUCCCAUCCUUGCUUGGAGUGGGAGGAAAUGUGGCUUUUGGUCCUGCCACUUUGUUACAUGAUAGACAAUUUUUGAGCACUAGAUCCCAAGAAACUGGGAUAACAUAUUUUUGUUGGUGUGAAGAAAAUCACUUUGUUGGCCAGAUGGGUCUUUCAUUUCUGAGCAAACUAAAUUGAUACUAAAUCAAGGAUUUUUUAAAAUCAGGACAUAUAUCAAUCUGUUUGUUAAAUAAUAUUUUAACAGAUUUAAGAUGUGUCUGUUUCUUUGUUGGAAAUGAGACCUCACCUUUUUUUUGGCAAGAGCAGAAUUAUUUUGCAUGUUAAUUUUAAAGUUGCAUAGGAAACCAAACAUUUUGUAUGUCUUUUUCAAGGAAGAUGUAUUUUGCUUUGUAAAUCAAACAUUUUAUAUAGUGACAUGAACAGAUUACUGGUCUUGUUACAGGGAAAAUGGUGACAUUGAAAUCUUUUCAUUGUGUUUUAGAUUUCCCACUUUCCUAAGUAAAUCCAUACUAAGAAAACACAGAAUCACUGGACAAAUAUGAAAGAAUGGCAUCCUCUACUUCCCAUUGUUUUCAUUUUGAGUUAGCAGUGACCUUUAGCUCCCCGCUGGGAUGCAGUGGAAACUUUACAAGGCCCCAUCUUACUUGCCACUAAAAGACAACUUAUUUUUAAAGUUACACAUUUACUAUCCUGUUCUGUCUUGGAGUCUGAGGUUCUGUUAUCUCUGAUAAAAUUUAAUCAGAAAAACAACCUCAGUAAGUGAUCAGCAAAGUAGAAUCUUGUUUGAAAAAACCUACGCUAAUUUGUUAAUUAAAGCACAAUGAAAGAAACCUUGAUCCUCAUUGAAUGCAGUCUUCUGUAUUCAGGAGUAGCUGCACUUCUGCAUCAUCAGAAAGAUGUUCCUCGUUCACACUGAGUUAUCAGGGUUGCUUCUCUUCUGACUCUGAGGUGUAGAACUCUGAUUUACAGCAGAGGUUUUAAUUCCAGGUUUAAAUGCACAGACAUAUCUGUGUGAUAUGGAGGUAGGUCAAGAUCAGCGUUGAGCUGAGAUGAUUAGUUUGUAGAUAUGUAUUCUUUUGGAAAACUGUCUGCUCUUCCUUCCAAUUUUUAAUUUUUUUUUUCCUUCCUUCAUAACUUUCCAUAAGUUUGGUGAGAAAUUCCACAAAUGGUUGAGGACAGCCACAGCUAUUACUCUGGUAACUUGAAGCAGAAGUGAUGUGUCCUGUAUGCUGUUUAACUGCCUGGUAAAAAUUGCACUUUUCCAUGAGAUGUAACUCAAAGAUAAGUAUUUCAGCAUAGGAUGAGUAUCAGAAUGUACAUCUGUAAAUGCUGGAAUCCAGAGCUUGUACUGAAGUGUGGAUGGCACUGGGAUUUCUGGCAAGAUAUUUGCUUUUUAUUUUUCAAACCAAGGCAAAGUAUUAUUUUCAAAUGCCAAAGAGAUUUAUCAGUGUGCCAAAUUCUUACUAAAAUGACACUCUUUCAACCCUGUUAUGAUCUGUGGGCUCAAGGGUUGUUGCUGUGGCUUUAGGUAACUUUGGGAGCGGUGACUCAAAGUUAAAACUUUGAAAUUCUAAGCACUCAAAAGGAUUUUUUUCCUCCCACAUUUUUGUACCUGUGUAGUUCUUUUCCUGCGUCUGAGGAUUGUUCUGUAAGCAGUGAUGCAGCGGUGACCCAGACUUCCCCUGGACCGGGGCCACCGUGUACCCAGGAACACAAGAGCUGCACUCAGACCAAGCUGUGUCCAUGUGUGCAGUGCUUUGUCUCCAGCAGCGUCAGCAGAGUGUGCUUUGGAGAAAGAUGCAAGGGAUCUAUUUAAAGGUUCAAAACUGAGAAGAGUUCUUCAUGUUCCUCUUCUGGCUCUAGUCUGAGCAUACUGAUUUACUUUUCAUUUUUCACCGUUUUGGCAUGUAAUAUGAUACCGAUAUUUGAGUUUUAUGUCCUUAAAACUUGGUUGACGAGUGCAAUAAAAAAACCUGUACUC